rnacentral:rRNA from 1 species
AGUGAACGCUGGCGGUAGGCCUAACACAUGCAAGUCGAACGGCAGCACAGUAAGAGCUUGCUCUUACGGGUGGCGAGUGGCGGACGGGUGAGGAAUACAUCGGAAUCUACUUUUUCGUGGGGGAUAACGUAGGGAAACUUACGCUAAUACCGCAUACGACCUACGGGUGAAAGCAGGGGAUCUUCGGACCUUGCGCGAUUGAAUGAGCCGAUGUCGGAUUAGCUAGUUGGCGGGGUAAAGGCCCACCAAGGCGACGAUCCGUAGCUGGUCUGAGAGGAUGAUCAGCCACACUGGAACUGAGACACGGUCCAGACUCCUACGGGAGGCAGCAGUGGGGAAUGUUGGACAAUGGGCGCAAGCCUGAUCCAGCCAUACCGCGUGGGUGAAGAAGGCCUUCGGGUUGUAAAGCCCUUUUGUUGGGAAAGAAAAGCAGCAGGUUAAUACCCCGCUGUUCCGACGGUACCCAAAGAAUAAGCACCGGCUAACUUCGUG